rnacentral:rRNA from 1 species
UUAUCGUACAACAGGAGGUGCCGAGGUUGUCGCUGACCCUANGUCGNGNNCGCCUCGNGCAUUCUUACUCCUCAUCCACUUCACCCCUUGUGCAUCCCCGCGUGGGCUCUCUCGAAAGAGAGAGCCGGCGUCAUUACACAAACACAAAGUAGCAGUANAAUGUUCUUUGCAUUUGUAUGCANUUAAUACNACUUUCAACAACGGAUCUCUUGGCUCUCGCAUCGAUGAAGGACGCAGCGAAAUGCGAUACGUAAUGUGAAUUGCAGAAUUCAGUGAAUCAUCGAAUCUUUGAACGCACCUUGCGCCCCUUGGUAUUCCGAAGGGCACACCCGUUUGAGUGUCAUGAANUUCUCAACCUUCUCCAUUUUCUUUCUUGACUUGGGUAAAGGCUUGGAUUUUGGAGGCUUUUGCUGGACUCUCUUGAUUGAGAUCGGCUCCUCUUAAAUGGAUUANUANGAUCCCUUUUUCGCUGGUCCUUGAC